CUUCAUCUUCACUUUCUAGUUUGUUGAUAUUCCUUUUGGUGAUUAUAAGCUGCUCUUUAAAAUGGUCAAUAAUGCCUAAGAUGUUUAUUAUCUUGCCCUUUGCAGAAAAAAAAUUUCAGCUUUUGCUCUGGAAUGAUUUUGCAUCUCUUCCACCAAGCUUCCAGUGUAUCAAUGGCCAGAAAAUAAUCUAUAUGUUAAUUUGUUAAUUUGAUGGUUCAUGGUUCAAGGCUGUACAAUUUAUAAGUUUGAAGUCAAACAACACAUGAUGGAUAAUCCUGAUGUUACAGAUUCUCAGGGGAGAAUAUAUAUUUGUUUUUUCUACCAAUUGUUCUAGUAUUUACAGACAAACUUCUUAAUUAUACUGGGUUGGUUAAUAAGUAUUUUUCUUUACUCUUUCAAUCUAGGUCCAGCUAUGCAUCACCUCUUUGCUGAUGAGCCUUAAGAAAAUCCAAAUUUAUAAAUUGCUGGGUCCAUCUCUCUUGCCAUCCAGAAAAGUCAGAGCAACUGGUCUUGCUGGUUUUAAGUGUUGCCUGUGUUUCUGGCAUUGGUCACAAAGCCUACUGCCUGCUAAUCGGCAAGUGGACCUGUUUCUCUAACAAUGGCCCGAAACUUCACAACAUCAAAGGAGAAAUCAUUGCCAGCAAAAGCAUUUCCGGGUAGUAGGAAAGAAUGCAAGUGAAUAACAUUAGUCCAGAAGUUUUAAUAAUAUUCUUUGCUGGUUGAAAUUCAUGUUUAACAUGAUGUAAAUUACUUGAUAAGCAAAUUAAGAACUAUGCUACUACAGACUCCAAAUAAGACGCAAGAAAAAUGAGGGGAAAUACAUUAAAGGAAGAUCUUAAAAAACA